rnacentral:lncRNA from 1 species
UUUAGCUCCAGUUGCUGAAGACAGCAGGUGGCUUGGAUAUUAAAUAGCAUACAAAACUUCCAAAUGAAGUCCAUAGGAAAUAGGGUACAGUGAGGGGGCUUUAUGUCCUGUCGCCCUGCCAGCCUAUUCAAACAGGAGGCAAAUCAAGGUGAAGAAUGCAGGCGGCCAUUGACCUCUGUUGACUUGUCAGUGCAGUGUAAACCUGCCACGCAGCCCCAGGAAGGCCACAGCAUUCAAGUGUGUUAUUGCGGGAGUUUGCUGCUAAGAUGCUAUUUAAAGGAGUCCCGGAUGGAGGGGAUGGAGGGGUUGGGAGCUGAGUGGGGCUCACACGUCACCUCUCACUGUUAGGGGUUUUACUAUGUUUCCCUAAGUGUCAAUCCUUACUGCUUGAGAUUGGCGAGAAAUUCAUCAGUAUUGUCUUUAGUAUGUCUUGUGCAGUGUCCAGACAUUUCUGAGCACUCACAGAAUGCUUGCUAAUAUUUUCAUGGAAUUGAUGAAUUUUUCAAAUAGGUUGUUUUUUGUCACCAUGCUCUGCUUUGUGUCUUCAACUAGUAGCACAUUCUCCGCUCAUUGGCCAUUUCUGCAUCCCAUCUUGAGGGCUUAUGGUUGGCGGUUUUGGAUCUCCUGGCUCCUCGUGGUCCCCGUCUCCUGUAAUCCUGAAUACAUGGCUUCACAGAACGUGAAUAGCCUUCCCACGGCACUGAGCGAUCAAUUUGGUUGUUUCUCUCUCUUGUUAAUUUUAAUUUUUUUAUAUGUGGUUCUUUCUCUUUUGUGAGACAUUGUUGAUCUUUUAGACCACACCUGCUAAGUCUAUGGUGGCAGGUCACCU